UACGUAGGGGGCUAGCGUUGUCCCGGAUUUAUUGGGCGUAAAGAGCGUGUAGGCGGCCAGGUAGGUCUGCUGUGAAAACUCGAGGCUCAACCUCGAGACGUCGGCGGAAACCAUCUGGCUAGAGUCCGGAAGAGGAGAGUGGAAUUCCUGGUGUAGCGGUGAAAUGCGCAGAUAUCAGGAGGAACACCGGUGGCGAAGGCGGGAUCCUGGGCCAGUACUGACGCUGAGGAGCGAAAGCGUGGGGAGCAAACAGG
rnacentral:rRNA from 1 species